UUUCCGUAGGUGAGCCUGCGGAAGGAUCAUUAUUGUAUAACCGAGGUGCGAGGGCUGUCGCUGACCCGAAAGGUCGUGCACGCCCGAGUGCCCUCACACACAUCCAUCUCACCCCUAUGUGCACCACCGCGUGGGUCCCCCUUUGGCUUGUUCGGAGGGGGGCUUACGUUUUCACACAAACUUAGUAUGCAGUGUAGAAUGUAUUUUUUGUUUUUGCGAUCACGCAAUCAAUACAACUUUCAACAACGGAUCUCUUGGCUCUC
rnacentral:misc_RNA from 1 species